rnacentral:lncRNA from 1 species
UUGGUUGAUGAAUAAAUGCUUCAAAGAAAAAUCGCCGAGAACUCGGCUUCAUCACAAAUUUCUCCUUCCCUCGAUUUAUUUGUUCAUCGGUUUCGUUGGUCUGUUCCUUGAAUCGAUGCAUCUCUUCUGAAUUCAGGGUGCUGCAGAAUUUGAGCACGAAGUGUUUGAUAAUGCGCUACUCUUUCUCGUAGAACAUUUUCUCUUCCAAGCGUUUCCAGCAUUGCUGAAGAAGAAGAAUCAGGAGUAGAGAAACUCAAGACUUGCAAUCUGCAGAGAGGGCAACUCGAAUGAUUACGGAACCAGGCAUCGAUACAAGGACUAUGAAACGAAUGAUUACAAUUCGGUAAGUGUUUAAUCAAUUCCCCUUCUUCGAAUUCACCCAAACAAACAGCGCAUUCCGUAUUGAAACUUGUCGUUGAUUCGGAUUCUUCAUUCUUUUUGAACUGCGAUAUAGGUAGCAAACGAAUCAUCGAGGUCUCCAGUCCAUGGCCAUGGAUUUGUAGUGAAGGAUUGUUAGGGUUUUCCUCAAAUUGGACCGUAGGUCGACCGGUAAACAGUCCAUGAAGGACACGGCACAAUUGUUUCAAAAGUCUAUAGUUGCUCAACAGUAGGAAGACGAUGCAUACGACGACGAUGGUCGAGAUUGACCAUGGACUCCAGCUAGAGUAAUCAGGCACCGGAGAUGGCGGAGGCGGACUCGAUGGCAUGUAAGAUUAUAGAUUCGUGGAUGAGACGAGAGCAUUUAUGAUGAUGAUAAAAGUUGGUGAAGGGUUUCGAUGGUUAUUGUUUUUGUUUAUAAAUAAGACGAAUAGGGAAUCUCGCACCUGAAUUUCUCCGUCAAAAAACCGAUUAAAAUUGAAUUAGAUGAUACCCAAGUAGAAAACGAGUAAAGAUAUUGAAUACUAGUUAUUAUAUUCAGAUAACAACGCAAGAAGUUAAAGUUUGUUGUCACUGUUUCUUGUCAUUUUUUUUCUGCUGAGGAAAAGAAAUUGAAGUUGAGAUUGGUUAGCAUGAUGGGGCCGAUGAAGUUAAUUUUUGAUGUAAUUAAAACUUCAAAUCUCCUCAAUAAAACUACUAUCAAGUCAUUUUUUACACUGCCAACUCCAGAUCAAUCUUGAAUUUGUACAAUGGCGGUCACUGAAUUUUCUGUCUCUUGGCUCCUAGAAUCUGCGGGUGGUUAACAUUUGGAGCCAUCAUCAAGGCGCUGUUGAAGCAAGAACCAGAAGGACCAUUUGUGAAACUCAACAUAGAGGAAGCUGAACAAAUUUGAGAAGACCCACGGGAUAACAUUUCAGCGUGUAAAAGAGAAUGGAGUGGCUUUUGGGAAGAGCUGCUGGCUUUUGAAGAAGGGUUUUGAUCGAUAUUUUUAGUGUUGCAGCCAUUCACUAGAAGAGGGGGAAUCUUGAAAGCUUGCAAUGGCGGAGGAUUACGCCAUUGUGGAAGAGGCCCAGCAACGAGAAGUGUCUGAAGCAAAGGACCGGCUUCUGUAACAGCUUGCAGGAGCUUCCCUUUCUGAGGUAAUGCUCUUCCCUUAGCAAGAUUAUCAAUCACUGCAGAGAAUGGAUCAGGCUUUUCUGUUUUUGGAGUGUCAAGUCCUGUUGCCAGAGGAGGUUGAGGGGCAUUGUUAUACUCUGGGACAAAGGGCUGAUUUACAAAACUUAUUUUGCUUGAAUCGGCCAUGUUUGCAGUGGAGAAAUCUGGUGAUGAAACACCAUCAAAGAACGAAUCUGCUGGUGAAGAACCAUAUGAAUGAUGAUUAUAAGUUUCAUAGAGACUAUUUGAUUCUGUGAUGCUUGAAUUUGCUUUUGUAGGUAUGUUGAGAGGGCUUUCAGGUUGGAAAUGACGCAGAGCGGGUAAUUCAGUUGCAGUAGUUGGCAUAAUUUUGUUCAUCAGUUUCUGCAGUUGAUCUCUUGCUUCAUCUCUUUCUUCAUAUGCUGCCUGCAGUAGAAGAAGUAAGCUCUUCACUUUCUCUUUGUUCUUAACACUUUCUUCAUUUGCUUCCAUUUUUAGAGACUCGAGUUCAAAAGUCGUCUGUAGGAGUUUCUGCUUCAAAUCCUCCACGUUCUGCAAAUUGAAAAUUAGUUUUGUUAGCGUAAGCAGAACAAAAUAUUUGCUUUAAAGAUAUAGAAAAUCCUCUUCUGCGUUUACUUUCUUCAAGAGAGAGAAAGUGGGAAGAUAAUGAUAAACUAUUGGAGCAUCAGGAUGAGGUUAUAGAAUGCCAAGAAGUUGGAAAUCCAAAGUCCAUUGUCAAAUAAUGCUGUAAAUUAGGUACUAUUAAUCAAUGUCUUUGGAAUAACAUAUAGCAUAAUUCUGAUCAAAACCGACAUAUUCUUUUCCAUUUGCAACCAAACAUGCUCAGAUAAAAAAAAGUCAGCACACACGUCGUGUAAAGCACAAACACUGUUUGUUACUCCCAAUCCCUUGCUUCUGCUACUUAAAACAAGACAAAUAGAACAUUUGUAGUUCAUUUCCCCCACCAAAGAAUAAAGAAAACCAAAAGAUCUAGCUUGGUGUAUGCAUUGUGAUAUAAGAUAAUCAUUACAACACCCAACUUCAGUGAACUUAAUCGAUCAUUUUCCAUUCAAAAAUUGGAAUUCUUAAAGAAAACAGAGAAUGAGGAAGAUCAUGGGAAGAUCAAACAAACAAUCAUUGUAAGGAAAAGCCCUCCUAGUUGAAAACACCCAAAAUUGAGAAGACCCAGAAGAAGAAAUGAACUGAACUAACUCUUGGGACAUGAAGAGCGAGAGAAUAAGAGAGACCCACCUCCUGAAAUCUCCAUAAACAGCCCAAAUCCUCCAUAGUUGUUUCUACUGCUUGGCUAAUAUGAAGGGAGGAAGAGAGGAAGGGAGAAAAGUAUAGGGAGUUUAAGAAAGAAAGUUGAACCCUGAGACAUUUAUAAAUUGAUGUGGAUGAUAGGACAGGUAUAAACUAGAGAGAGAGAGAAAUGGGUCUUUUUCUCUCUCUCACAAAGUUCCAGAGAAAGGCAGUCGACAUCAAGAAAGAAAUUAGUAGAAAAAUGAAAAAAAAGAAGUGGGGGGAGGGUCAGGUAUAGAAAGAAAUGAAAUUCCAAAUUCUACGCCCGAGAGGAAGGGCGUAUUGAAUUCCAUUAUAAACCACUUCUUCUCUCUUUGCUCAAAAAUGGAAACAGGAGACUCUCUUUCUCUCACAUGAAGGUCAAGCAGUAAAGACCGGUUAGAUUUCCCUUAUUUAAAUUCCUAUCGCUACAAUACAAAUACAAAAUGCCUACCUUUUCUAAGCUUAGACUCUAAAUAAAGAUUUAAAAUCCCAAAUUAUCUCCUUUUAAAUUUUAAUUUCCCUCCGGCGGCUCUCUUUCUCUCUCUACUGCAACAUUUUUAUUUGUACAAAGGGGUUUUACUUGGAGAAAUGGGCCCAUGGAAGCCCAUAUUUUCAUUCAUUUCUACGCUGUCUUACAUUAUGGAUCCAAGUAAUCUGUAGAAAAUUGGAAUGUUACAACUUUUAUCUCUCUUUGAAAAAGGCUUAAAUUUUAAAUUCAAUGACUGAGUUUAGUCUUCAAAAUUUUAAAGAUGGUGUGUGAAAUACUCAAUAUCUAAACUUUUUAAAUAGUCUAAUCGUUAACUUUCAGUUUUCUAUUCUAAUGUUAUUUUAACUUUAUAAAAUGUUUUUAAUUUUAUGUUUAAUAAAUGUGUUAAUUUUAAAUUGUGUCCUACUUUAGUAUACUAAAUACAAAAUUUUAAGUUUGGGAUUGUUUUCAGAUAAAAUUUUAAUUUAUAUCUAAUUAAUUAAUUGGUUUUUAAAAAUCUUAAUUAUGAAUUAUAAGACACCAAAAUGAAAGUUGAAGAAAUUGUUCGUAUUUGUUAUUCAACCAAAUAUAUGUGUAUGUAAAGUUCCAUUGUUCAGCAAUAAGGGGGAUUUGAAUCUUUGAUCACUUGAUUGAUGACAUAUAUACUUUAUGUCAGUUGAAUUUAGUUAAUGGUUUAGAUUGAUACAAUUACGUAAGUUCAGAGUUACAUUUAUAAAAUGUUAGGCUAAAUUGAUACAAUUACUAGUUUGAGGUUUAAAUUGAUACAACUUUCAAAGUGUAUGUUUUAAAUCGAUACAAUUAUUAGUUUAAGUUUUAAAUUGAUGUAAACUUAAAAGUUUAGGGUUGAAAUUGAUAUUCUUUUAAUUAUUUGUACAAUUUAUAUUUUAUAUCGUGGUUAUUGUUUCUUCUAGGUUAGAAGGCCAGAUCGAGACCAAGAUAGCAUAGUGACGGGCUAAGGGAAGGGAGUUCGACAUUUGGUGGCCUCACCCUUAGCAUUUUGGCUUUGAUGUGUCUAAGUUAGUUGGUUAGCCAACUUCUCCCUUGACCUUUGCCUCGAAGAUUCAGCUCGACCUCAAAACCAUGCUUUCACUCAAGGCAUGUUUGUCACGCCGAUGAGCCUAGGGUCCAAUCAAGCAAAUUUACACUUGUUACGUGAGGGUUGUGUGCGUUUUCUAAUUUUCAAAUUUUGGUAUCAACACUAUUUAUAAGAAAAAUACUUUAAUAAUUGUGUUUAGGUCUAUGGAAUAAUAUUUAAAAAAGCAAUAAAGAGAGAGUGUGUUGAGAGAGGGAGAGCAGUGAGCAUUCCCUAUUUUGAAAAAAUUACACAUCCUUUAUUUUGGCCUUUGAAAUAAAAAGUGCAACUCUUUGUUAUUUUACGUUACAUGACACAAGUGUCCAAAAAAGAGGAGACCAAAAUCGCUUUUACCUCCCUAGUUUCCUAACAGCUAACGACUUUACCUGUCGACAAAUCCUUGGAAUAUCGUGGAAAUUAUUACAAAAUAUAUACUCUCUCACAAUCACACACAUAGACUCCUCACAUAGACAUCAAUAUUAAACUACACCAUACUUUUCUAUUUUUUCCCUCUCCUCAUGAC